CGCCGGAAGUGCGUGGCCGUCCGAGGCCAUGGCGGCGCUUGGCGUCGUCUGCGUGCUGCUCGGGGCAGCGGCCGGCCCGUUCGCCGGCGCCUUGAGCGAGGAGUUCUGGGUCAGCCAGUCGCCGGCCCACCUGCUGUCGGACAGGGCGAGCUACAGACGGAAUUAUUUAUAGAUUCAACCCACGGCCCUGCCUUGUGCUCUGAACCCCUCCUGGAACAAGUGCUGAGACUUGUGGGUGCCUCUGCAGAACCACGAGGACCACUCGCGUCCAGGGUCAGAACCAGCAGCGAGUCCCCUUCACUUCAGGGGUUGGUGGGCCACGUAGCAUGUCCCAUGGUAUCCCCCCACUAAGCAGCCACAAGGAGGCAGAGAUGCCCAGAGAGAAGGAAAGACCUGGAUGGAGGGAGUGAUAAAACGGUGCAGAGCCCUGCAGCCCCAUCCCAGCAGUUCCAGUGUCUGAUCCUGGUCCCUGGGCACAUUUCUUUAAUCAGUAACUGGACGGUCCUGAGGUGUAAACUGGGGCGAAAGCUGAAUACAUGACAGAGGACCAGAUGGUGGCUUUUGAAAUUGUCUAUUUCUGAUCAUUCCUUUACAACCAUCCACCCCAGGAUUAACUCCCACACAGGCACCUCGAGCCCAAAUCCUGCGUCCCUCCCCAAGCAAAUCAGAUUCAUGUUUCUGAUUGUAGGACACUUUGCGUUUGAGGUCCCAUGAUCUCCCCAUUGUCCCUGCAAUCCUGUACCUGGGCUGGGUCCAUCCCUUUCCCCAUUCACACUGAGCAUGAACCUGAAACGUGGGUGCCCCCUGCAUACUGCACCCCGGCCCGAGGUUUCAGCUUCCAAAGGCCCAGAAAGAAGCCUUUGCUGGGUGCGCCCAGGGAGCAGGGUCACUACAGGGGCACAGCACGGGCUCCAUGGCAUGAAAAUGCCACGUCAUAAAACUCACUAUAGUCUUGGUCGCAAACAGGGUGGACUUGGGCUGUCCUAACUUCCUCAGCGUCCCUGUCAGCUCAGCCCGGAUCAGGGUGAGUCUCUCCUGGUUGACGGUCCCCUGGGUCCUGUAACACUCCAGGGGGACAGGGGACAGCUCAAGCUCCAAACUGCACAGCCCGGCCGGGUGGUGCAGCAGCUUCUCCACGGUGGCCACGGGGAGGUUGUUCUCAGGGAUGGUGGAGACCCUGAGCUGGUGGCAGCGGCUCAGGACAGGCAGGAUGGUCUCGACUUGGGAGCCCGCCAUCCCACAGCUAUCCAGGCUCUCCUACCGCAAGUAAGCCUGAUCUUGUAGCCCUCCCUCAUCCCUUCCUAAGUAGCUAAUGUGCUGUGGGAGGUGCAGCAAGUGUCAAACAAGAACAUUUGUAUACAUGUUAAUCUACUCUUAUUUUAAUCAGACUAUAAAAUAAAGCAUAAGCUUGCAG